AGUGAACGCUGGCGGCAGGCCUAACACAUGCAAGUCGAACGGCAGCACAGUAACAGCUUGCUGUUACCGGUGGCGAGUGGCGGACGGGAGAGGAAUACAUCCGACUCUACCUUUCCGGGGGGGACAACGAAGGGAAACUUACGCUAAUACCGCAUACGACCUACGGGUGAAACCAGGGGACCUUCGCACCUCGCGCGAUCCAAUGAGCCGAUGUCGGAUUUGCUAGUUGCCGGGGUAAAGGCCCACCAAGCCGACGACCCGUAGCCGCUCGAAGAGGAUGCUAUCCCGCCCGGGAACUGGAGCACGGUCCAGACUCCUGCGGGGGGCAGCAGUCGGGAAUGUUGGACAAUGCUGGCAAACCUGGACCAACCAUAGCCCGUGGGUGUGGAGGGCGUUCGGGUUGUAAAGCCCUUUUGUUGGGACACAAACGCGGCAGCUUGAUACCCCGCUGUUCUGACGGUACCCAACGAAUAAGCACCGGCUAACUUCGUG
rnacentral:rRNA from 1 species